ensembl:lncRNA
AAAUAAAUUGCACUGCAAACAAAGUCUAUCAACAAAGAAAACAUUUUCGUUUCAUACUUUUCCGUUAUAUUUCCUUACAAAGCUAGCUUUAACGCUUCGAGGGUUCCUUUGUUCUUGCCGUCGCCUCGGCGCUUGACCCAGACUUUCGCUCUGUAGUUGCUUUUUAGCAUAGUACUACAAAAAAUUUUAAAUCUGUGAUAUAUGAUUGAUAAACGUAAAGGUAACUGUAUAAAUGUGUUCAAUGACUUUGUUACUUUUAAUGAUUGGAGAGCACCCGCUUCGAUUCGCACUCAAUUCAAACUUUACGCUGCACGCUCACCUAACUUGCGUUUGCACCUUUUGUCCACACGUAAACUGCGUUUAGCAUUUACGUGUGGACGAGGAAGACGGAGAAAACGCAGCGUCAAAGGUGUGCGCCUAUUUUGACGCCACACUGUGCGCCAAGUUUUUGUCUCGGUGCCAUGAAUUCCUACAAUGGCAGACUUAGACAAAAUACUGUUAAUGUUAUUAUCUUCAGUGUUUAAAUGCUUACAUAUACGGGUUUGCUUGUAAUUGUUGCCUAUAUACAUUUUAAGCUAUUAUUUAUUAUUUAGUUUAAUCAAUAGAUCAAGUUUUGUAGUGACUAUGAAAUAUAUUGUAAUUAUCUGUUUCCUGUUUAUCCUAGACAGGGCAAAAAAGGACUCCAAAUUAAAAAAAAGAUAAAAAUGAAAGACUGGUGCAUUGUUCAGCACUGGUGGUACAGAAAUAGUCCCUAGUUCAUGGAUAAAUGGGGAGAAAUUGUCAUGGCCUCCAUAUCCUCUGUGAGACACAUUCAGGAUCCACGAUGCAGUAAAGAGGAGAGUUCAUCCUGGUUCAACAUGGCUCACCUAUGCACCAGUCCGACUUCUAAUAAGCCAUGACACAUUUCACAAAGCAGAACGCAGUCUUCAGAAAUAUCUAAGUGAACACUGUGAUACGUCUGACCUUCAGUCCGAAGCUGAAACUCAGACCAGUCAUAAAAGAAAGCACAAACCAAAUCCCCUGUACACAUAUAGUGACUCAGAGGAUGAGCAGCCCACAAAGAAAUGGUUUCCCCAGGCCCCUCGAGUGAAAAUACCAGACCUGACGAGAGCUGUUAACGAACUCCGUGAGGAGGUCAGAGCCAUCCGCAAUACCGGCUGCAAUGAAUCGGUAGAUGCUGGGGUACUGCCUCUGGAUUUGCCCUUGCACAACAUUGAGGAGCUAAACAAUGCAGAGCCAGCUCUUCAAUCACAAGAGGCAAAUAAGGCAAUGGUGAGACGCUUUGCCUUGAUUGGAAGG